UACAGAGGUCUCGAGCGUUGUUCGGAUUCAUUGGGCGUAAAGGGUGCGUAGGCGGCGGGGUAAGUCUGAUGUGAAAUCCCGGGGCUCAACCCCGGAACUGCAUUGGAUACUGCUCUGCUUGAGUACUGGAGAGGAGACUGGAAUUUACGGUGUAGCAGUGAAAUGCGUAGAUAUCGUAAGGAAGACCAGUGGCGAAGGCGAGUCUCUGGACAGUUACUGACGCUGAAGCACGAAGGCUAGGGGAGCAAACGGG
rnacentral:rRNA from 1 species